rnacentral:tRNA from 1 species
GGCCGCGUAGUACAAUGGAUAGUAUGGAGGUUUCCGGAGCCUCAGAUUUAGGUUCGAUUCCUAACGUGGCUA